UUAAGGAAAAAUAUUUAAGCCUGAAUUCCUUUAAGUUCAAACCAAAAGCAAUCUUCUUCACUUUGGCUUGUUCAUGGACCUGAAAGGCUCACCAUCUAAGGUAGAUGGUACCCUCAGAUUCUUUGAACGACUUGGAAUCAAUGAACCCAUGCCUGAAAUUGCCUAUCAAAAUGGCUUCAACACUGACCUAAUUCGAAGCUGUCUCCAGGUCCAAAGCGUUGAGCUUGGUCACAUAGUGUGCAGCUUCAAACUCAAGCCCCAAGUGACCAAUGCUUAUAAUACAUUUCAUGGUGGAGGAGUGGCUUCCACUGCAACAACGGUGGCCUCGGCGUGCAUGCAAACCCUAAUUGCUGAUAAGCCCUUCUUUCUUGGUGAAUUGGCUGUGACCUAUCUUUCUGCUGCAAACAUCAAGAUGGAAUUGGAAAUUGAAGCAAGAGUGCUAAGAAUGGGACGAAGUGUGGGUAUGGUCUCUGUGGAAUUCAAGGAUAAGGGGACCAAAAAGCUGGUUUAUGCUGCUCGUGCCACCUUCUAUAACACUCCUGUUUCAAAUCUUUGAUGCUUGAGGUUCUCAUUUCUCUUCGACAAAGUACUAGUCUUUUAUCGAGUAGUGUGGUUUACCUCAAGUUGCGGUGUUUUGCACUAUAUAUUUUAGUCAGGUUGGGGAAUGCUUGAGUCCUGAGCCAAGUCAUCCUAUCCAACAUAGGAGAGUCUCAAUUCAGGUUGGGUUUUUUAAACAAAGCAAUUAUUUAUUUAUUUGAAAAAUUGCCUUCUCAGGGUGAAUCCCAAAGCUCUACGUUUGGACAAGGGUGGCAAUGGGCCAGGCCUGGUCUGGCCCGAGCCUGGCUGGGACCCGGGCAGGGCCUGAGGGACCCUAGCCUUUGCUUGACCGUACUCUUGGGCUAGGUGGCCCAACUGGACCGAUUAAUGUGGUCGGGCAGGGUUGGUUGGACUGGGCCAAUAAAUGUUAUUUAUUUAUUUCUAAAUUCGUUUACAAAAUAAAUAAAAGGAAGGACCAGGCCAUGCCAGGCCGGGCCGAACUAGGUAAGACCCGUGGCCCAAUCCCAGACACUAGGUCUAUAUUGCAGGCCAGAGCCUGGCCUACAUGACUGGCGGGCCUUCAAUCCAAGCCUACUCAAGUGAGUCUUGCUCUUUGUCACUGAGUUUUUUUAUCAUUGGUUAAGCUGUUAAGGGUUUGAAUCUCCAAUAUACCUUUUUCUGUGGUUCCUAUACAAAAUUAGUGGCUUGUCGUCUCUCUCUUGUGCAGGAAGUUUCCUAUGAUUAUGGCUAUGCACUCGAUAGAUUGGUGGGUACUGAUGGCAAGAUCAAGGAAAUGCCUUGCUAUUGUGAAUCUUCGGUUUGUUGGAAGCGUUUGUAUUAGAUGAAGACUCAAAAAUAGUAAUAAUCUUGAACUGACCUUUUGGAAUUUGAUUUGGUUCACGGCAUAUUAUUCAAGGACGAGGUUGAUGAAUCUAGUUGGUGGAAGAUGUUUUUUGCGGAAUGGUGGAAGUGGUUUAUAGUCCAACUAUGUGGGCAUAUUAUGGUUUUGUUUGCAUUGCCUUUAAUCAACUGGUAACCUGGAGCCAUUAAGGAGGUGAAGAAUUUGACUUUUUGUGGAGUGGAGACAUUUGAGCGUUGUAAGGUUUUGCAUAGGAUUUGGACAAGGCCAGUCUCAAGAAGGUAAGGUUGUAUUGUUAUGUAAAACUAAGUAGUCCCACUCUAAACUUUCAGCUGGGAUUUCCUUUUGGACAGUUUCCCUAGUUUUGUAACAUCUUUAUUUGUUAUGUGGCAGUUUUGUUUCCUUCCAAUGUCUACUUGCAUAUGUAGUUCUUUUUGUAUAGAUGCCUAAUUUUGUAAUGUUGAGCCAGUAUGGUUAA